GCCAGCAACUACACCACGUAGAGGCCUGUGGUGCCCGUCACGCCGUCCAGGUUGUGCUACGUCGGGCCGGGUUAGUACAAUCGUUGGUGACGGAUUCGGAACGCUCGGGUUUGCUGGCC
rnacentral:rRNA from 1 species